CCUACGGGCGGCAGCAGUGAGGAAUAUUGGUCAAUGGACGCAAGCCUGAACCAGCCAUGCCGCGUGCAGGAAGACGGCCCUAUGAGUUGUAAACUGCUUUUGUACGAGGGUAAACGCAGAUACGUGUAUCUGUCUGAAAGUAUCGUACGAAUAAGGCAUGGCUAACUCCGUGCCAGCAGCCGCGGUAAUUCGGAGGAUUCAAGCGUUAACCGGAUUUAUUGGGUUUAAAGGGUGCGUAUGGGGUCGGAUAAGUUAGAGGUGAAAUCCCGAGGCUCAACUUCGGAAUUGCCUCUGAUACUGUUCGGCUAGAGAGUAGUUGCGGUAGGCGGAAUGUAUGGUGUAGCGGUGAAAUGCUUAGAGAUCAUACAGAACACCGAUUGCGAAGGCAGCUUACCAGGCUACUACUGACGUUGAGGCACGAAAGCGUGGGGAGCAAACAGGAUUAGAUACCCCUGUAGUC
rnacentral:rRNA from 1 species